UGGGGAAUUUUGGACAAUGGGCGAAAGCCUGAUCCAGCAAUGCCGCGUGUGUGAAGAAGGCCUUCGGGUUGUAAAGCACUUUUGUCCGGAAAGAAAUCCUUGGCUCUAAUACAGUCGGGGGAUGACGGUACCGGAAGAAUAAGCACCGGCUAACUACGUGCCAGCAGCCGCGGUAAUACGUAGGGUGCAAGCGUUAAUCGGAAUUACUGGGCGUAAAGCGUGCGCAGGCGGUUUGCUAAGACCGAUGUGAAAUCCCCGGGCUCAACCUGGGAACUGCAUUGGUGACUGGCAGGCUAGAGUAUGGCAGAGGGGGGUAGAAUUCCACGUGUAGCAGUGAAAUGCGUAGAGAUGUGGAGGAAUACCGAUGGCGAAGGCAGCCCCCUGGGCCAAUACUGACGCUCAUGCACGAAAGCGUGGGGAGCAAACAGGAUUAGAUACCCUGGUAGUCCACGCCCUAAACGAUGUCAACUAGUUGUUGGGGGAUUCAUUUCCUUAGUAACGUAGCUAACGCGUGAAGUUGACCGCCUGGGGAGUACGGUCGCAAGAUUAAAACUCAAAGGAAUUGAC
rnacentral:rRNA from 1 species